rnacentral:rRNA from 1 species
GACGAACGCUGGCGGCGUGCUUAACACAUGCAAGUCGAACGGAAAGGCCCUGCUUUUGUGGGGUGCUCGAGUGGCGAACGGGUGAGUAACACGUGAGUAACCUGCCCUUGACUUUGGGAUAACUUCAGGAAACUGGGGCUAAUACCGGAUAGGAGCUCCUGCUGCAUGGUGGGGGUUGGAAAGUUUCGGCGGUUGGGGAUGGACUCGCGGCUUAUCAGCUUGUUGGUGGGGUAGUGGCUUACCAAGGCUUUGACGGGUAGCCGGCCUGGGAGGGUGACCGGCGACAUUGGGACUGAGAUACGGCCCAGACUCCUACGGGAGGCAGCAGUGGGGAGUAUUGCACAAUGGGCGGAAGCCUGAUGCAGCAACGCCGCGUGCGGGAUGACGGCCUUCGGGUGGUAAACCGCUUUCGCCGGUGACGAAGCGUGAGUGACGGUAAUGGGUAAAGAAGCAACGGCUAACUACGUG